GACGAACGCUGGCGGCGUGCUUAACACAUGCAAGUCGAACGGAAAGGCCCUGCUUUUGUGGGGUGCUCGAGUGGCGAACGGGUGAGUAACACGUGAGUAACCUGCCCUUGACUUUGGGAUAACUUCAGGAAACUGGGGCUAAUACCGGAUAGGAGCUCCUGCUGCAUGGUGGGGGUUGGAAAGUUUCGGCGGUUGGGGAUGGACUCGCGGCUUAUCAGCUUGUUGGUGGGGUAGUGGCUUACCAAGGCUUUGACGGGUAGCCGGCCUGAGAGGGUGACCGGCGACAAGGGGACUGAGAGACGGCCCAGACGGCUACGGGAGGCAGCAGUGGGGAAUAUUGCACAAUGGGCGGAAGCCUGAGGCAGCAACGCCGCGUGCGGGAUGACGGCCUUCGGGUUGUAAACCGCUUUCGCCUGUGACGAAGCGUGAGUGACGGUAAUGGGUAAAGAAGCACCGGCUAACUACGUG
rnacentral:rRNA from 1 species